AUUGAACGCUAGCGGGAUGCUUUACACAUGCAAGUCGAACGAGUGGCGGACGGGUGAGUAAUAUCUCGGAACGUGCCCAGUAGCGGGGGAUAACUACUCGAAAGAGUGGCUAAUACCGCAUACUAUUGUAGCGGCCGAUAGCGGAUUAUCUAGGUGGUGGGGUAAAGGCUCACCCAGGCAACGAUCCGUAGCUGGUUUGAGAGGACGACCAGCAACACGGGGACUGAGACACGGCCCAGACGCCUACGGGAGGCAGCAGUGGGGAAUGUUGGACAAUGGGGGAAACCCGGAUGCAGCCAUCCCGCGUGUAUGAGAAGGCCUUCGGGUGGGAAAGGACUUUUGGCAGAGAAGCGGUAUCUGCAGAAUAAGCACCGGCUAACUACGUGCCAGCAGCCGCGGUAAUAC
rnacentral:rRNA from 1 species